rnacentral:misc_RNA from 1 species
UUUCAUUUCCUCGCUCGUUCCUUCUUCCUUGGCGCGCUGGCCUUCAGACGGAGGGUCCCGCGGGUGGGUUGGGCGGCGUCGUUUGCGCUCGGACCUCCCCCGGGGGCUUGCCCCGGGGAAGCAACGUGGAUGAGUACGCAGGGGGUUUGGUUUGGACGUGGCCGCUUGGCGCCGGGGAGCCGGAUUGGGAGCUUGGCCUCCCGACGCCAGCCCAGCCUACUAGAGGCUGUCCUUCUAGUAAUGAUCCUUCCGCAGGUUCACCUACGGAAA